rnacentral:ncRNA from 1 species
AGGAGACCUGGUUUCUAGUACCAGCUCUCUCACCCAGGUUCCGACAUUUGGUGCAUAUAUUUGGCUGAGGAGCCAGUGAUGCAAGGCUACCAUCGGUGGGAUUAUGACUGGACGCCCCUAAAACUGAAUUCCCCCU